rnacentral:rRNA from 1 species
AACGAACGCUGGCGGCAUGCCUAACACAUGCAAGUCGAACGAGACCUUCGGGUCUAGUGGCGCACGGGUGCGUAACGCGUGGGAGCCUGCCCUUAGGUUCGGAAUAACUCCCCGAAAGGGGUGCUAAUACCGGAUAAUUUCUUCGGACCAAAGAUUUAUCGCCUUUGGAUGGGCCCGCGUUGGAUUAGCUAGUUGGUAGGGUAAAAGCCUACCAAGGCGACGAUCCAUAGCUGGUCUGAGAGGAUGAUCAGCCACACUGGGACUGAGACACGGCCCAGACUCCUACGGGAGGCAGCAGUGGGGAAUAUUGGACAAUGGGCGAAAGCCUGUUCCAGCAAUGCCGCGUGAGUGAUGAAGGCCUUAGGGUUGUAAAGCUCUUUUACCCGGGAUGAUAAUGACAGUACCGGGAGAAUAAGCUCCGGCUAACUCCGUG